GGAAUUGAUUCAGAUUAACCACUGACAUGUUUUUUUGAACCUCGAGAUUAAGUAUGUGCUUCAUCCGCUGUGACAGAUGUCUCGAGUUGUGUGGCAAGUGGAAGCGGUGACGUCUCAAGCUCAUUUAGUGUUAGACGAUCUAUGGAGGAAAGGAACAAGAAGAACAGGAAGACAAAGAGAUAUAUUGUCGAGGAUUUGGAAAUAGAAAACAUUAAGCUAGAAAAUGCAAAACUUGUUCUAGAAAUGAAGAAGCUUGAAUUAGAACAGAGAAAAUUAGA